rnacentral:tRNA from 9 species
GGAGAGUUGUCCGAGAGGCCGAAGGAGCACGAUUGGAAAUCGUGUAAACGGGAGACCGUUUCAAGGGUUCGAAUCCCUUACUCUCCG